UACGUAGGUGGCAAGCGUUGUCCGGAUUUACUGGGCGUAAAGGGCGCGUAGGCGGCGUGACAAGUCACUUGUGAAAUCUCCGGGCUUAACUCGGAACGGUCAAGUGAUACUGUCGGACUAGAGUACAGAAGGGGCAACUGGAAUUCUCGGUGUAGCGGUGAAAUGCGUAGAUAUCGAGAGGAACACCUGCGGCGAAGGCGGGUUGCUGGGCUGAUAACUGACGCUGGAGGCGCGGAAAAGCCUAGGGGAGCGAACGGG
rnacentral:rRNA from 1 species